GAUGAACGCUGGCGGCGUGCUUAACACAUGCAAGUCGAACGGACUUUGAAUGAAGCCUAGCGAUUUUAAAGUUAGUGGCGGACGGGUGAGUAACGCGUGGGUAACCUGCCGUAUACAGGGGGAUAACACUUAGAAAUAGGUGCUAAUACCGCAUAAGCGCACGGCUUUGCAUGAAGCAGUGUGAAAAACUCCGGUGGUAUACGAUGGACCCGCGUCUGAUUAGCUAGUUGGUGAGGUAACGGCCCACCAAGGCGACGAUCAGUAGCCGGCCUGAGAGGGUGAACGGCCACAUUGGGACUGAGACACGGCCCAAACUCCUACGGGAGGCAGCAGUGGGGAAUAUUGCACAAUGGGGGAAACCCUGAUGCAGCGACGCCGCGUGAGUGAAGAAGUAUUUCGGUAUGUAAAGCUCUAUCAGCAGGGAAGAAAAUGACGGUACCUGACUAAGAAGCUCCGGCUAAAUACGUGCCAGCCGCCGCAGUAAAAC
rnacentral:rRNA from 1 species